CCCUUAGAUGUUCUGGGCCACACGCGCGCUACACUGACGAUGUCAACGAGUCUCUCCUUGGCCGAAAGGUCUGGGUAAUCUUCUGAAACAUCGUCGUGCUGGGGAUAGAUCAUUGCAAUUUUUGAUCUUGAACGAGGAAUUCCUAGUAAGCGCGAGUCAUCAGCUCGCGUUGAUUACGUCCCUGCCCUUUGUACACACCGCCCGUCGCUACUACCGAUUGAAUGGUUUAGUGAGGACUCCUGAUUGGCGCCGCCGCCCCGGCAACGGAGCAGUGGACUGCCGAAAAGUUGUUCAAACUUGAUCAUUUAGAGGAAGUAAAAGUCGUAACA
rnacentral:rRNA from 1 species